AUUGAACGCUGGCGGAAUGCUUUACACAUGCAAGUCGAGCGGCAGCGCGGGGCAACCUGGCGGCGAGCGGCGAACGGGUGAGUAAUGCAUCGGAACGUACCCAGUCGUGGGGGAUAACUGUCCGAAAGGACAGCUAAUACCGCAUACGUCCUGAGGGAGAAAGCGGGGGAUCGCAAGACCUCGCGCGAUUGGAGCGGCCGAUGCCGGAUUAGCUAGUUGGUAGGGUAAAGGCCUACCAAGGCGACGAUCCGUAGCUGGUCUGAGAGGACGACCAGCCACACUGGAACUGAGACACGGUCCAGACUCCUACGGGAGGCAGCAGUGGGGAAUAUUGGACAAUGGGGGCAACCCUGAUCCAGCCAUGCCGCGUGUGUGAAGAAGGCCU
rnacentral:rRNA from 1 species